rnacentral:tRNA from 1 species
ACUCGCAUAACUCAAUUGGUAGAGUGCUUCCUUGACGUGGAAGAAGUUGUCAGUUCAAGUCUGGCUGUGAGUACCA